rnacentral:rRNA from 1 species
GAUGAACGCUAGCUACAGGCUUAACACAUGCAAGUCGAGGGGCAGCAUGGUCUUAGCUUGCUAAGGCCGAUGGCGACCGGCGCACGGGUGAGUAACACGUAUCCAACCUGCCGUCUACUCUUGGACAGCCUUCUGAAAGGAAGAUUAAUACAAGAUGGCAUCAUGAGUCCGCAUGUUCACAUGAUUAAAGGUAUUCCGGUAGACGAUGGGGAUGCGUUCCAUUAGAUAGUAGGCGGGGUAACGGCCCACCUAGUCUUCGAUGGAUAGGGGUUCUGAGAGGAAGGUCCCCCACAUUGGAACUGAGACACGGUCCAA